UACAGAGGUCCCGAGCGUUGUUCGGAUUUAUUGGGCGUAAAGAGCUCGUAGGUGGUUCGGUAAGUCGGAUGUGAAAUCUCCAGGCUCAACCUGGAGGGGUCAUUCGAUACUGCCGUGACUAGAGGUCGGUAGGGGAGUGUGGAAUUCCUGGUGGAGCGGUGAAAUGCGCAGAUAUCAGGAGGAACACCCGUAGCGAAGGCGGCACUCUGGGCCGAUACUGACACUGAGGAGCGAAAGCGUGGGGAGCGAACAGG
rnacentral:rRNA from 1 species